AAGGAUAAACAUGACAAGGUAUUGUAUAAUUUAAAUGAAUAACAAUUCUUUAUAUUACGAAUUGAUUUGCAAUAAAUAAAAUUAUCAACUUUAAAUUCAACCAACUAAUUAUAUGAUUUUAUUAUCUUGCAGUAAAUCAGACUACAUACAAUAAAUAGGAGAGAUAUAUGGAUCUUAUUCUCAUCGAAGCCAUCCGGUCUGUACUUUGAUAAUUUUCCGAAGAUUUCACCGAAUGAGCGCAUAUAGCCCAUCUUGCGCGCUGUAAACCCAUAAUCGAAUUGUGAAAAAUUCGGUUGAAGAAAUAGGAUAAACACGAAAAGUUAGUUAAUCAAACGACAAUGAACAAAAGGAACAUGGAUCUUAUUCUCAUUGAAGCCCUUCUAUCAGUACCUGGAUAAAGCAUGCUGAUCACAAAUAUUGAUUAAAAUAGGAUAGAGGAAAUCAAUUCGCGAGAAUUGAAGUUUAAAGGUAAAAACAUUGUUCAUAAAAUUAUGUAUUAAAAAUUUAUUAUA